UGCACACUGAUAUAUUUUGUUUUGUGGUAUUCAAUGUUUAAGUGUUUUGGGAAGCACUGCUAUAUCAGGCACACUGCCUGUUGAAUCAUUCAGCUACGUAUUUUUUGUUAUCCAAUAGUGAAGCGCCUACACACUAUUUUUGGAUAUUCUAAAAACACAACUAAAGAAUGUGUUCAUCCACUCAUUAUUUCCAGACUUGACUAUUGCAACUCACUAC